rnacentral:rRNA from 1 species
AGUGAACGCUGGCGGUAGGCCUAACACACGCAAGUCGAACGGCAGCACAGUAAGAGCUUGCUCUUACGGGUGGCGAGUGGCGGACGGGUGAGGAAUACAUCGGAAUCUACUUUUUCGUGGGGGAUAACGUAGGGAAACUUACGCUAAUACCGCAUACGACCUACGGGUGAAAGCAGGGGAUCUUCGGACCUUGCGCGAUUGAAUGAGCCGAUGUCGGAUUAGCUAGUUGGCGGGGUAAAGGCCCACCAAGGCGACGAUCCGUAGCUGGUCUGAGAGGAUGAUCAGCCACACUGGAACUGAGACACGGUCCAGACUCCUACGGGAGGCAGCAGUGGGGAAUAUUGGACAAUGGGCGCAAGCCUGAUCCAGCCAUACCGCGUGGGUGAAGAAGGCCUUCGGGUUGUAAAGCCCUUUUGUUGGGAAAGAAAAGCAGCAGGUUAAUACCUCGCUGUUCUGACGGUACCCAAAGAAUAAGCACCGGCUAACUUCGUG